rnacentral:rRNA from 1 species
AUGAACGCUGGCGGCGUGCCUAACACAUGCAAGUCGAACGAAGCAUCUUAUCCGACGAAGUGGAGUGCUUGCACAAAGCAGAGUCAACCAAGGUGACUUAGUGGCGGACGGGUGAGUAACGCGUGGGUAACCUGCCGUAUACAGGGGGAUAACAGUUAGAAAUGACUGCUAAUACCGCAUAAGCGCACAGUAUCGCAUGAUACAGUGUGAAAAGCCGAGACGGUAUACGAUGGACCCGCGUCUGAUUAGCCAGUUUGGCAGGGUAACGGCCUACCAAAGCAACGAUCAGUAGCCGGCCUGAGAGGGUGAACGGCCACAUUGGGACUGAGACACGGCCCAAACUCCUACGGGAGGCAGCAGUGGGGGAUAUUGCACAAUGGGGGAAACCCUGAUGCAGACCGACGCCGCGUGAGCGAAGAAGUAUUUCGGUAUGUAAAGCUCUAUCAGCAGGGAAGAAAAUGACGGUACCUGACUAAGAAGCUCCGGCUAAAUACGUGCCAGCAGCCGC